GACAGAGGAGGCCAAGCGUUGUCCGGACUGACUGGGCGUAAAGCGCCCGCAGGCGGCCGUGCACGUGGGGUGUGAAAGCUCGCGGCUUAACUGGCGAGAGGCCAUCCCAUACGGCGCGGCUCGAGCCGUCCAGAGGCCGGUGGAAUUGCCGGUGUAGUGGUGAAAUGCGUAGAGAUCGGGAAGAACAUCAGUGGCGAAGGCGGUCUGCUGGGCCGUUGCUGACGCUGAGGCGCGACAGCGUGGGGAGCAAACAGG
rnacentral:rRNA from 1 species